GAUGAACGCUAGCUACAGGCUUAACACAUGCAAGUCGAGGGGCAGCGCAGUGUAGCAAUACAUGGGCGGCGACCGGCGCACGGGUGCGUAACGCGUAUCCAACCUUCCCGUUACUCAGGGAUAGCCUUCCGGAAGGGAGAUUAAUACCUGAUGGUGUUGAAAUUCCGCAUGUUAUUUCAACUAAAGAUUUAUCGGUAACGGAUGGGGAUGCGUGACAUUAGAUAGUAGGCGGGUAACGGCCCACCUAGUCUACGAUGUCUAGGGGUUCUGAGAGGAAGGUCCCCCANACUGGAACUGAGACACGGUCCAGACUCCUACGGGAGGCAGCAGUGAGGAAUAUUGGGUCAAUGGUCGGAAGACUGAACCAGCCAAGUAGCGUGAAGGAUGAAGGUUCUAUGGAUUGG
rnacentral:rRNA from 1 species